CCUGCGGGGCCAACGCUCUGCUCUGCUCUGCUCUGCUCUGCUCUCUCCCUCUCCCCCAGGCCAGUAGCUUCCAAACCCUCCUGCGGCAGCAGGCCCGGCUGGAGGUCCUGGCUAGAAGGGUCACCUUGCUGGAAGCCAUCAUCUGGCCAGAGCCAGAGCCCGGCUCGGGCAGUGCCCCCCCGGGCACGGGGACGCCGGGGGUGCCCCGCGGGAAGCGUGGCAGUGCCCAGCCCCCCUAUCGCAUCAUCACUCGCCCCCGAGGGCCAUGAGGAGCCCCACACGUGCCCCCCACCCCGCGCCCGCCGCCGUGCCAGGACGGGCAGGGCCCCCCCCCCGGCUUGGGGGGCAGGAAGGGGGGCACCCCAGUGUCCCUCUACAGUGUCCCCCCAUUUGGUGCUACCGGUGGCACGGCACCGACCCCCCCAACCCCCUCAGCGCUUCUGCUUGAGCCCCCCGGGGAGGGCAAAAGGGGGACCCCACCCCUGGUGUCCCCCCCAGCCCAAAGUGCAGCUCGGGGGGGUGGAUUCUCGCUCCCCCGAGCCCCCCGCGCUGGGGAAGGGGGGUGGGGACCCCCCGGGUGGGGCUCCUGCCGCGCUUUGUCCCCUGCUUUGGGACCCUCGAGGUCAGUAAACGUCCCCAGAGCCGUG